AUGCCCGACCCUCAAACGCAAACCGUAGAAGGGUUUGUAUCACUGUGGUUGACUUUCGGCAGCGGCGCCAGACUGGAUGUUGGCAGCAACACUCCUCCUAAAGUGAUCAUCCUGUCCCCGUCCAGUGCAGAGAUCUCCUCUCUGAACUCAGCGACACUGCUGUGUGUGGCCAGCGAGGGCUUCCCGUCAGACUGGAGCCUGAGCUGGAAGGUGGACGGGAGCGGCAGGUCUCAGGAGAGCAGCGCUGGGCUCCUGGAGAAGGACGCUCUGUACAGCUGGAGCAGCAGCCUGACUCUCUCUGAGCAGGAGUGGAUGAAGAGCGUGUCAGUGAGCUGUGAGGCCACACGGAGCGGCCAGCCUGCAGUCACUGCAGAACUGAGGAGAGAUCAGUGUUCAGAGUAGAUCUGCUCAGUCUCUCCUCUGCCUUCUGCUUCAUCCUUCUGACUGAUGACGUCUCACUUCUGCUUCUCUGAUCUCAUUCACACAAGAGCAUGCUGUGAUUUUCUGUUAGAACUGAAAUAAAAUAAAUAUAAAUAA